UACAGGUAUGAGCCACCACACUUGACCUGUAGAGAAGAAAUUCUUGUCUCAGUUAAAAGUUAUCUCUGUAUUCCUAUUAGGAUAGGAUGCUAGUCAGAAUUCCUGGGAUAUGUACAUAAAAUCAAAAAUAAUUUGAGAUAAAAAAUCUGUCAGCAAAGAAGAACUUAGGUAACAUAUUAGAGUGGAGAAUGUGGUACUUCCAUUUUGCUUCUGUGGUAGUAAGGAUUGGGAAGAGGGCAGAGAUGGGAAGAGAAAAGUGUUUCUAGGACAGACAUACAUCUAUUAUUUUUCUGGAGUUUGAGUAUCUACUAGAACAACCUUUAAUUUUCCCUUAUUGCCUAUUCUUAUCAUUGCCCAGCCACCAUCACAAAUGAAAAAAGGAUGGAGAAGAACAAGUCUGGAUGUUGGGUUGGGGACAAUCCAGUAAGACUCUGGAGUGGGUAAAUGUCUGGUGUGGAUGAAAAGAGGCCUACAGAAGAAGGGGGAGUAGAAGUAGGUUUGAGUGAGAACAGUGCGCCCACCUCCACCAAACCGGGAGCAAGUGUGACAAUACAGACUCAGAAAAGUAAAUUGGCAUGGACUGCACUUCCGGGUUGGAGCAAGUUGAAAGGCAUCAAUGUUCUGGGCUGUGAUGUCACCUUCAAUGUGACCUUGGGUCAUUCUCAAGAUCCACCCCACAUCCCCAUAACCUGGGGGUUUUUACAUUCCCAGGAUCUUUGCCCACCAAGGCCACUGCCCUUUCCCAAAGCAUCUUGUUUCCACAGAGUCUGAAGUUCACAUACUAAUGUUCUGGAGUGAUGGACUCUCUCUUAAGUAUCUUGUUUACAGUCUCAUGCUGUGCAUUUUUUUUUUUUUUACCAUGUCUGCAUGGGAUAUGGCAAAGGGUUUGGUUUAGUGUAGAUAAAAAGAAUGCUGCAGAAUCAUUCGCUAGAACCUUUAGCAUAUGAUUGCAAAGUUGGUGGGUCUUUCUCUUUUUCUCUCUAUCUCAAAGUUCAGGGCAAGUAUAAUAAUAAGUUAUUGUGUUUGGAAACAAAUUCAUGCUUAAGCAUUCUUAUGUUAUAUCCCCUCUCUGUUCCCCAGACGUGGUAUGACAUCUACUUGUGGACACACUCUGCUUUCUGGUUUUUCUGUUUCUGAUUAGAAACUCAAAAACAAUAUGAGAAACAUACCUGAAAACAGCAGAAGAUCUGGAUCAUUCCGGCCAGCAAUUCAAAGUCUGCCAAAGGGAAAUCAAGUAUUGUAGAAACCUACGGGGCCUCUCAGAGCAUUUUACCAGAACUGUGGCAGGGUGACUGAUUGUGUCCUCACAGGGGAAGAAAGUCUUGUCCAAAGAUGGCGUCUACCCUGUGCUCCACUGUGUAUCCCAGAGGAGAGCAUCUUUACUGUGGAAUGGACUUCCAGCUGACUCAUGUUGGGGAAAGGAAGCAACACAGGAGCUUAAGAGGAAAAUUGAAAGAAACCACAGACCCUUUGAAAGAAGUGGCAAACUGCAGCUUACACCAUGAGCCAGGCAGAAAACUCUGAGUCCUCAGAGUGUGAAAGGAAGAGAAACUGCCUCUGGGAUAUGCACUCCCACUGGGGAACCUGGCAAUCCAGGCCACGGGGAAGACCUUAACCCUACCCAGUGCUGGAGCUGAUUUAAUGAGCUGAGGGGAGUAUAUGAGAAGGAGCAGCUUCAGGAUGUGCUUUGCUUGCACUCCUAGACUCUACUGGGGACAGAGGGAAGCCAUUCCUGAUCCUACCUCACAGAGGACCAUGCAGAAGUCAGCCAACUAGCUCAGGCGGUGGCCAUGGGCUGAGAGGAGUGAGAAGCUCCCAACUGAGAUUCACAAUAUAAUCUCUAGCAGGGAUGGACCUCCUUGACCAGAACUGAGGGGCAAGUGGGAAGUGCGCUGUGCCCACAGGUGUAGGAGCUGGGUGCCCCUGCUUCGCUAGCAGAUCAGGAGGGGCAUGGCCUGAGCAGUUUUUGUCUUGGCAGCCAGAGAAGGCUUAUGGUCUGGGACAGUUUUGAGUGCUGAAUGCAGCCUGCUUGCAACCUAGAUGGCCGCUGCCAGUAGAACACUGUGGGUCUGAGACCUGUCUUGCCAAGUGCAUAGGGGCUGAGUGGGGCUUACUGCCACCUGUACUCCCCACUUCCUGUGUGGACUCUUCUGUGCGGCAGGGGCAACUGCACUCCUCCCUGGAACAUUAUCCCAGCAUCCAGAGAACUGCCCUCUGAUCCCCACUGGGCCACUGAUUGCACCUGCACGUGGAUAGCCAGAGCGCGAACUUGCCUGACUCAGCCCCGACCUGGUUUGCCUUUUUACCCACCCUGGUAGCUUAACACAAAGGACAGAAACUUUCGGGAGUGUUAUGGACCUGCCCAUUGCUUGAGACACCAGAGUACCUCCCCUGGUCACAUAAGCCAAGCAUGAAUUCCACCACUACUACUGCAGUCAGUGCUCUUUCGCACCAACUGCACCUCCUGGCUAUAGGCCAAUCAACAUAGUCCAUUACAACAUCUGUAGGCAGAAUAACACAGCACUGGGAAGGAGAAAACUUUUGCAUGACUACAGCUACCACCAUUGCCUGCAUCACCCUGGCUAACCAGGAGGUCUUGAGUCUGUUCACAUGACCAGAUCAUUACUACUACAACUGAAAUUAGAGAAAGCCAGCACACUAAGGCUAUUUGUAACCAAAGAAUCUCACAGAGUUUACUUUACUCCUCUGCCAGCCCCAUCAGAGCUGGUGCUGGUACCCACUGCUGGGAGACUUGAGGAUAAGUCACAUCGCUGGACCCUUUGCAGACAUUCCCUAGCACAGGCCUGGAAUGUAGCAGCCCCAUUGGGUGGCCAGAUCCAGAGCCGCAGCAGCAAUCAUAGUAGUCUGGCACUCAGGGACUCCUACUCCUAGGGUAAGCAGGAGUGCACCACAUGAAGGGAGCACCCUGUGGGACAAAGGAAUCCAGAUGGCAGGCUUUGAGUCUCAGAACUUUACAAUUGUGGGAAAUUUCUUUCAGCAGAGAGACAGGUGCAGUGCUGGGCUCAGUGGGGAAGUCUGUGGCUCUACCUCACCAGUCAGGCAGCCCUGGUGCUUGUGAAGGGUCUUGGAGAAUAGGACUUCUCCCCCUCAUGCACCACUGCUGACACAGCUGGGGUUUCUCACAAAGGAACUCGGCAUGAGUGCACCUGUAGACAGCCUUUCUGGGACCCUUCAGGUGACUGCAUUCCCACAGGACAAGUGCCCUCCAGGCUCAGGCUUGUAUGAGAGGUAGAGUCACAAUUCAUCUCUACAUUCUUGCAGCUGAAAAGACGUGUCUGUCUGAAGGUCUAACAUCCAGUAUCUGUAAGGAACUUAAACAAAUUUACAAAAAACCCCUAACCCACCCCAUUAAAAAGUAGGCAAAGGAUAU
rnacentral:lncRNA from 1 species